CAGAAACAAAUGGGAGCUGUCACCUAGCAUAUGAUGCUGCCUCUGCUGUUUACCAAGGAUGGGGAGAGAUUGAUGGUUCUAUGGUCUCCCAACUGCUGACUCCAUGUGGACUUUUCAACACAGCUCAUCACCCUGAACACACCAUCCCCACUGUAAAACAUGGUGGUGGCAGCAUCAUGGUUUGGGCCUGCUUUUCUUCAGCAGGGACAGGGAAGAUGGGAAGAUGGAUGGAGCCAAAUACAGGACCAUUCUGGAAGAAAACCUGAUGGAGUCUGCAAAAGACCUGAGACUGGGACGGAGAUUUGUCUUCCAACAAGACAAUGAUCCAAAACA
ensembl:lncRNA